AAUCCAAUUAUGCACCAUGAAAGUACAUAUUAAAUGGAGUUUGUGCAUAUAAAGAACUUGCAAUUUGGACAAACCAUGUGGAAGUUAUGGCCUCCUGAUUACGGGUCUUUUUUGAAAUUCACUGAGCCAUAUCUUGCAAACCACACAUGGGAUUUUCAAGUUCUUGGACUUUUUGGAAAGGUGAGAACAAGAUCUUCAACUUUCAU
rnacentral:lncRNA from 1 species